UGGGGAAUAUUGGGCAAUGGACGCAAGUCUGACCCAGCAACGCCGCGUGAAGGAAGAAGGCUUUCGGGUUGUAAACUUCUUUUAACAGGGAAGAGUAGAAGACGGUACCUGUUGAAUAAGCCACGGCUAACUACGUGCCAGCAGUCGCGGUAAUACGUAGGUGGCAAGCGUUGUCCGGAUUUAUUGGGUUUAAAGGGAGCGUAGGCGGAUUGAUAAGUCAGUUGUGAAAGUUUGCGGCUCAACCGUAAAAUUGCAGUUGAUACUGUCAGUCUUGAGUACAGUAGAGGUAAGCGGAAUUCGUGGUGUAGCGGUGAAAUGCUUAGAUAUCACGAAGAACUCCAAUUGCGAAGGCAGCUUGCUGGACUGUAACUGACGCUGAGGCUCGAAAGUGUGGGUAUCAAACA
rnacentral:rRNA from 1 species